rnacentral:rRNA from 1 species
CCUACGGGGGGCAGCAGUGGGGAAUAUUGCACAAUGGGGGAAACCCUGAUGCAGCGACGCCGCGUGAAGGAAGAAGUAUUUCGGUAUGUAAACUUCUAUCAGCAGGGAAGAAAAUGACGGUACCUGACUAAGAAGCCCCGGCUAACUACGUGCCAGCAGCCGCGGUAAUACGUAGGGGGCGAGCGUUAUCCGGAUUCACUGGGUGUAAAGGGAGCGUAGACGGCCAUGCAAGCCAGGGGUGAAAGCCCGGGGCCCAACCCCGGGACUGCCCUUGGAACUGCAUGGCUGGAGUGCGGGAGGGGCAG